rnacentral:piRNA from 1 species
UCUAAUUUAGUUUCGAGGAGGCACAGUC